GGAGUUUGGGCCGUGUCUCAGUCCCAAUGUGGCCGUUCACCCUCUCAGGCCGGCUACUGAUCGUCGACUUGGUGAGCCGUUACCUCACCAACUAUCUAAUCAGACGCGGGUCCAUCUUACACCGAUAAAUCUUUUCACACUGCAUCAUGCGAUACCGUGCGCUUAUGCGGUAUUAGCAGUCGUUUCCAACUGUUGUCCCCCUGUGUAAGGCAGGUUACCCACGCGUUACUCACCCGUCCGCCACUAAGUUUUAAAAAGCAAGCUCUCUAAAACUCCGUUCGACUUGCAUGUGUUAAGCGUGCCGCCAGCGUUCGUCCUGAGCCAUGAUCAAACUACU
rnacentral:rRNA from 1 species